rnacentral:rRNA from 1 species
GAUGAACGCUGGCGGCGUGCCUAAUACAUGCAAGUCGAGCGAACAGACGAGGAGCUUGCUCCUCUGACGUUAGCGGCGGACGGGUGAGUAACACGUGGAUAACCUACCUAUAAGACUGGGAUAACUUCGGGAAACCGGAGCUAAUACCGGAUAAUAUAUUGAACCGCAUGGUUCAAUAGUGAAAGACGGCUUUGCUGUCACUUAUAGAUGGAUCCGCGCCGCAUUAGCUAGUUGGUAAGGUAACGGCUUACCAAGGCAACGAUGCGUAGCCGACCUGAGAGGGUGAUCGGCCACACUGGAACUGAGACACGGUCCAGACUCCUACGGGAGGCAGCAGUAGGGAAUCUUCCGCAAUGGGCGAAAGCCCGACGGAGCAACGCCGCGUGAGUGAUGAAGGUCUUCGGAUCGUAAAACUCUGUUAUUAGGGAAGAACAAAUGUGUAAGUAACUAUGCACGUCUUGACGGUACCUAAUCAGAAAGCCACGGCUAACUACGUG